CAGGAGGCCGGCGACGGUUUCCGACGGACCGGGAGAAGUCAGCCGAGGUCAUAGUAGGCCGGGCUUUCCGCCCUGCCGAAGGAC
rnacentral:ncRNA from 1 species